ACUGACCCUAGAAGCAUACAGGUAUGUCUGCUAUGUCAUAUGUAUGUCAGUAAGUGGCAAAGAGGAGAGAGAUUAUGUCAAUGUUUUGACAUACAUACAUACAAACAUCUGGAUGAUUACUAGCCUAAUAUU